GGAGGAUUGGCCGAGCGGUUGAAGGCGGCGGUCUUGAAAACCGUUGUACCUUGACGGGUACCGGGGGUUCGAAUCCCUCAUCCUCCGCCA
rnacentral:tRNA from 1 species